AGGUGUUGUUGGGUAGGGGAGCGUUCUGUAAGCCUGUGAAGGUGUGUCGUGAGGCAUGCUGGAGGUAUCAGAAGUGCGAAUGCUGACAUAAGUAACGAUAAAGCGGGUGAAAAGCCCGCUCGCCGGAAGACCAAGGGUUCCUGUCCAACGUUAAUCGGGGCAGGGUGAGUCGACCCCUAAGGCGAGGCCGAAAGGCGUAGUCGAUGGGAAACGGGUUAAUAUUCCCGUACUUGGUGUUACUGCGAAGGGGGGACGGAGAAGGCUAUGUUGGCCGGGCGACGGUUGUCCCGGUUUAAGCGUGUAGGUGUGUGUUCCAGGUAAAUCCGGUUCACUUUAACACUGAGGCGUGAUGACGAGGCACUACGGUGCUGAAGCAACAAAUGCCCUGCUUCCAGGAAAAGCCUCUAAGCAUCAGGUAACAUCAAAUCGUACCCCAAACCGACACAGGUGGUCAGGUAGAGAAUACCAAGGCGCUUGAGAGAACUCGGGUGAAGGAACUAGGCAAAAUGGUGCCGUAACUUCGGGAGAAGGCACGCUGACACGUAGGUGAAGUGAUUUACUCAUGGAGCUGAAGUCAGUCGAAGAUACCAGCUGGCUGCAACUGUUUAUUAAAAACACAGCACUGUGCAAACACGAAAGUGGACGUAUACGGUGUGACGCCUGCCCGGUGCCGGAAGGUUAAUUGAUGGGGUCAGCGCAAGCGAAGCUCCUGAUCGAAGCCCCGGUAAACGGCGGCCGUAACUAUAACGGUCCUAAGGUAGCGAAAUUCCUUGUCGGGUAAGUUCCGACCUGCACGAAUGGCGUAAUGAUGGCCAGGCUGUCUCCACCCGAGACUCAGUGAAAUUGAACUCGCUGUGAAGAUGCAGUGUACCCGCGGCAAGACGGAAAGACCCCGUGAACCUUUACUAUAGCUUGACACUGAACAUUGAGCCUUGAUGUGUAGGAUAGGUGGGAGGCUUUGAAGCGUGGACGCCAGUCUGCGUGGAGCCGACCUUGAAAUACCACCCUUUAAUGUUUGAUGUUCUAACGUGGACCCGUGAUCCGGGUUGCGGACAGUGUCUGGUGGGUAGUUUGACUGGGGCGGUCUCCUCCUAAAGAGUAACGGAGGAGCACGAAGGUUGGCUAAUCCUGGUCGGACAUCAGGAGGUUAGUGCAAUGGCAUAAGCCAGCUUGACUGCGAGCGUGACGGCGCGAGCAGGUGCGAAAGCAGGUCAUAGUGAUCCGGUGGUUCUGAAUGGAAGGGCCAUCGCUCAACGGAUAAAAGGUACUCCGGGGAUAACAGGCUGAUACCGCCCAAGAGUUCAUAUCGACGGCGGUGUUUGGCACCUCGAUGUCGGCUCAUCACAUCCUGGGGCUGAAGUAGGUCCCAAGGGUAUGGCUGUUCGCCAUUUAAAGUGGUACGCGAGCUGGGUUUAGAACGUCGUGAGACAGUUCGGUCCCUAUCUGCCGUGGGCGCUGGAGAACUGAGGGGGGCUGCUCCUAGUACGAGAGGACCGGAGUGGACGCAUCACUGGUGUUCGGGUUGUCAUGCCAAUGGCACUGCCCGGUAGCUAAAUGCGGAAGAGAUAAGUGCUGAAAGCAUCUAAGCACGAAACUUGCCCCGA
rnacentral:rRNA from 1 species